CGAGGAGCGUGUGAAACCCGUCAAUCCUGUUUGCCAUUUCCCCGUGGAUUUCCGAGGAGAGGUUCUGCACGAUGCCCCCAGGUGAUCCUCCGACUGUGAAAAACCAAACCUCUUGCUGCCUGGCUCCCUAGGAAUCAAGAAGAGGCACAGACUGAAAAUCAGGGAGGAAAGGAACAAGAUCAAGGAUGAGGAUUAGCAUCUGCAAAUUGAACCCUAUCUAAUUUGCAUGUUUAUUUCUUAGAAUUGUAAUUAAAUUUGUGUAAUAAAUGUUUUCCAUUUCAUUCCUAUGCUUAAAAUUUGGGUGACUGACGUGCAGUUAAGUGAAUUUUUUUUUUCUUAAAGCAAAUGUAGUUUAUUCAAUAAAGCAGCAAACAAAUAUUAAACAUAAUUAGAACUAA